GGGCAUGCAUUUGUGCUUGAUUCAGUUUACAUUUGACUACAUUGUGUGCCUCACAAGUGCAAUCUUUAGAUUCUCUCAAUAAUGAACAUAGUGAAGAAAUUAUUCUAUCUUUAGUAAUUUGGGGUAAUUUCUGGGAUUUUAAUUGUUCUCAUAUCUUUUUUCCAGAGUGAAUGCAAAGUAGCAAAAUUCCGUGAUUAUGAAGAAAAACUCAUUGUUUCUGCCUGGUAUAAUAAGAGUCUAGCAUUCCAGAAACUGGGGAUGGAAUCUAGACUUGUGAGCGGUGGUGGUGCCUGCAGUGACACUGGUGCGUGCACUCCUGCGCGGUCUUUCUUAGCACAGCAACGGCACAUCACCAACACCAGAAGAAAUCUCUCUGUUAAAGUCCCUGCUACAACAUCUGAUUAAACUGCAAAAAAAAAAAAAAAAA
rnacentral:sRNA from 1 species